GACAGAGGUCCCGAGCGUUAGGCGGAAUCACUGGGCUUAAAGCGUGUGUAGGCGGAUUUGUAAGUACCUUGUGAAAUCCCACAGCUUAACUGUGGAACUGCUUGGUAUACUGCUUAUCUUGGGCCACUUAGGGGUUACCGGAACAAACGGUGGAGCGGUGAAAUGCGUAGAUAUCGUUUGGAACGCCAAUGGUGAAAACAGGUAACUGGGAGUGUGCCGACGCUGAGACACGAAAGCCAGGGGAGCGAAACGGG
rnacentral:rRNA from 1 species